AAAUCUAAGUUGAUGCAAGAUUGACUGUAUCGAAUAAAGUUCUAGGUGGGUUAUGAUGAUGACAUUUCCUAUCUAUGUGUCUUGACCAAAUUACGUGCCAGCAGUCGCGGUAAUACGUAAAAGACUAGUGUUAUUCAUCUUUAAUAGGUUUAAAGGGUACCUAGACGGUAAAUCAAGUCCGAGAAGGAUACUAAUUUGACUAGAGUUUAAUGUGAGGGGGCACUAAAGUACUGAUAAGUGUAGAGAUGAAAUUCUGUGAUACAAUAUACGGCACUGGCAAAGGCGAAAGCAUCCCAUUAUGUAAUAACUGACGUUGAGGGACGAAGGCAUGGUUAGCAAAAAGGAUUAGAUACCCAAGUAGUCUUAGCAGAAAAUUAUGAAUGUCAUAGGAUGGAAAGUUGCAUGGACAAAAAACAAAUUUUAAACAAAUUUGUUGUUCAUCUUCAUCUUCAUGUUCUUGUUCGAACAACAAGAACAUGAAGAUGAAGAAACAAAUUUUUUUUCUAUAAAUGAAAGUGUAAGCAUUCCACCUCGAGAGUAAUUUGGCAACAUUGGAACUGAAAUCAUUAGACCGUUUCUGAAACAAGUAGUGAAGUAUGUUGUUUAAUUUGAUGGUCCGCAAAAAACCUUACCACAAUUUGAAUAGAAAAAUUUUUUUUCAUACAAGCGCUGCACGGUUGUCUUCAGUUAAUGUCGUGAGAUCUUGGUUAGUUCCAUUAAAUUAACGUAAACCCUUACUUUAUUUUUAUAUAGAGUAGUUCACCGCUAGAUUGGAUGAGAUAACAGGGACUAAGACAAGUCAUCAUGGCCUUAUAUUGUGGCU
rnacentral:rRNA from 1 species